CAGAGAAACAUUUCUCAUAUUUGAAGGCCGGAAAGAGGGACAUUUCUGACACCGGAAGUCAGUGAGAGGACUCUUUCCCACACAGGAAGUCAGCUAGAGAGCCGUCUCCCCUCUCUGGAGCCGAGAGAGGCCGGUUUCCCCCACCGUAGCCCACCUGGGAGGAAUUUUCCAGAGAUCACUGUCUGAUGACCCUGUCUUGGAAUUGGAGCCAUGCAAGUUACACUGACCACGUUUGGGUUGGGAUAUUGAGGAGGUUAUGGUUAAAAGCAUACGAUGGGAGAUCAUAUUGUACUUGCGAGUGAGACCCGGCUGGAGGAAUGUUUUAAUUCUUCGGAAAUACCAAGUGGUCUCUGUCUCACAUGAGUACUUCACAAUGGGGAAACUGAACUGGAACUCUACUGACAACGCAGUUGGGAGUUCAAACUUAAUAACCUUCCAGAGUUGGUAUCAAAUUCAGACGCUGACGCUCCUUGGAGAGGUUCUUUGCUGCAAGAGGAUGGAAAGGAUCACUGUGAUUUUGUUUUUCUCCUGCUGCUCUGUCUGGAAGCCAUGUGAGGAGGACAUCUGAGCAGCCCUGUGGAGAGGCCCCCAGCCAACAGCCAGCAUGAACUUGCUGGGCAUGUGAGUGCACCACCUUGAAAGUAGAGCCUCAACCCCUGGUCAAGCCAUCAGGGAGAGCUCAAGCUGGCCUGUUGGAAGAUGACAGGCCAUAUGCAACAGACGUGAAGUGUCCCAGCUGAUCCCCUUCCAGAACACCCACCUUCCAGAUGACCACAGAUGCAAGGGUGAGCCAGCCAAUAGCUGCUGAGACAUUCCCAGAAAGACAGAACAUCCAGCUGACCCAUGGACUCAUGGGCGAUCAUGGAUAAAUGGAUAUUGUUUCAAGCUACUAGGUUUGGGGUUGGUUUGUUACGCAGCAAUAGCUAACAGCUACACCUCUAUUUUAAGGAGUUGUGAAGAUAAAUUGCAAAGGUACAGAAAAAUGAAUAGCUAUAACAGCUACUAGUGAUUGAGUGCUGGCUCUGCCUGGUACUGUGCUCAGGAUUGGCAUGCAUUAUCUCAAAGAGUUGCACAGGCUAGAAGGGCUGCAGCUGAAGAUUCUAGAAGAGUUCAGGUAUAAUGCCUGGCACAUGGUACCUGUUUCAUGUAUGCUAGUUGUUGGAUGCUGCUGAUGCUGGCAGCACGUGGAACUCCUGACACAUGCCUCUGAUUUGGUAGUGGGGUCUGAACUUUGUAAUCUGUGUGUCCAGAGACCUUGGGAAGUCUUCAGCCAAGGGCAGACCAGGAGGUAGCUUUUGUGAUCUGAGUGCAGAGAAGUUUCUUAGAGUGAAUGGCAUCCAGAUAGGGUGGGGAAAAAGCAUUAGCCAGGGUGCUCCACACACUCCCCUCACUAGUGUGGUCCCUGGACCAGCAGCCUCAGCCUCCCCUGGGCCCUUAUUAGAAAUGCAGAAUCUCAGGUCCUACCCCUGCUUACUGAAUCAGUAAGAGCAUUUUAACAAGAUCCCCAGGGGAUUUGUGUGCAUGUUAGAGUUUGUCCAGAACACUCUUCUCAAGCUAUCUGUGCUGAGACACCAGUAUUUUUUUCAAAUUCCAAUUUAUUGCAGAAUGACAGUUUUAAAAAAUGCAGUAAAAAAGCAAAUUCCUAGAAAAAUUAAAUGAAAAAUAAAAUAUACAAAAUCUAA